UGAGUCUUUGUUUUCUGCUCAACAAGCUGCUGAGCAGCAAUCCCAGCCCCAGGGCCCAGAGCACCUUCCUCUGGGAGUCCAGCCUCAGGACUGUGCUCUGCCUGCCCCUACUGCACAGGCCUCAGAGCCACCCACCUCAACUCUGGUUCAGCCACAGUCAGAAGCAAGUAAGAUGCUGUGCUACACUGAUGAGCUCUACGAAUCUGCUUUUCGUUUUCAGGACCUUUCCAUUUGGCUCCUGCUUAUCAAUAUUUAUCACUUUCAUU
rnacentral:lncRNA from 1 species